UUACCCUCCAGAAAAUAUGCAUGGCCUGUGACAUUCAUUGAAAGACAUUGAUUGAUAGACAACCCCCACCACUAUUCAAUAUUAAAUCUCGCCAUUUAUUUUUUACUGCAUUUUAAGUCUAUUGUUCACAUGACAAUACACGGUAAUUAUUGUACGUCUCAGAUUACAAUCCACUUGAUUAUUAUCCUACAUAAUUUACAACUUUUGAUUCCCAAUGCUACCAUCCAUCCUGUCUCAUCAUAAAACAAGACUGACAAAAUUUCAUCAUUAACGUACAUAAGUAUAAGUAUAUGCUAUUAUGCAAAAUGAAUAUACACAAUUUAGGGAAGCGUAAAAGACAAAUACUAAACAAACAUUAAUAACUAUUCGUUGUAACUAUUCACCACCAAACUUAAGACCGGACUUCGAGGGGUCACAACUUAUUUGGUGUCUUUCCAAUAAUCACUACUAUAUAUUUAUAUUUAUUAUAUUCAUUGUAACUUCUUCCAUUUGUGUGAAACCUUCAACUUCCACACGACAACAUGAGUACAUUGGCAUCUUCCUCUAUUCCAGUAAGUUUCUUUCACUUUACUAGACUUCAUUUUAACCUUAUGACUAUCUGUUCCAGUAUGACCCUUCAUAUAUUUCUUCUUUUCCUCUAUCAUUAAUCUUUCACAUUGGUAUUACUGCAUAAUUCUUCUUUUCCCAAACUUGGCACCUGAUGAAGCUAUGGAGUUUAUUGAAAACAUGGCAGCCAGUGACCAUGCCAUCCUUUGUGAUUGAGCUUACAUGCCUACAAAGAAGAGUCUUCUUGAGUUCACAUCACAAGACACACUACUAGAUUAAAACAAGCUCCUAGACAAGCAACUAGAGACCCUCACAGAAAUGAUGAGCAAGCUUCCUCAACAAUUGCAUGUAGUGCAACAUCUUUGGAGGGGCCCAUGAGUUAGGCAUGUGCAUGGCCUAAGAUGAUUCAUCCAAAGAAGUAAACUACAUGGCCAAUCCCAAUUGUCAAGGGUUCCAUCACAGAGGACCUUCUGGCUACAAUCAAGGGGGAAAUUUUUCUCAAGGCCAAGGUUGGAGAUCCCAUCAUGGGAAUAACUUCAACAAGGAUCAAGGUGGCCCAUCCAUCCGACCUUCUAAUCAAGGGCCCAACAUGUAUGAGAGGACCACCAAGCUAGAAGACACUCUAACUCAGUUUAUGCAAGUGUCAUUAUCAAAUCACAAGAGCACUGAGUUUGCCAUCAAGAAUCUAGAGGUGCAAGUGGAUCAACUAGCCAAGCAACUGGUUGAAAGGUCCACAGGGAGUUUUGUGGCCAACACUAAGAAGAAUCCCAAGGAAGAAUGCAAGACAAUCCUUACCAGAAGCUAGAGGAGGGAGAAUGUAGAGAGAAAAAAGAGCAAUGAGGGAGCAUUGGAGUAGGUGAGUAAUGAGGAAAGAGAGACUAAAAAGAGAGAAGAGGGUGAUGAAGAGAAAGAAGAGAGCAAGGAAAUGGGUGGAAAGGUCUUAUCCACUAAGACCAACAAUUACUGCAACCAAACUUACACAUAUCCUCUUUACCCCACAAACAUUACUGCAACCAAACUUACACAUAUCCUCCUCUUUAUGUGGCCCCUCCCAUUGGAUGCCAAAAACCUGAUUUUUAGCUCCAUUUCGUGUUGACAAGAACAUUAUUGAGGUUCCUUUGUCUUACCAUACACAAUGGCGGCCAUAUUACCCAACUUAUGUUUUAUUUGACUAUAACGGAAGCAAACAUUUUGUUAGGGUGCGGAAAUAUGACACCCGAUAUUUUUUUGCUGAUGGUUUGAAAGAAUUUCGGAGGACCCACGACAUUAACGACAAUGUCAUUAUCCGGUUUUUUGCUCCCGACAAAAAUACCUCUUUCGAGGUUGAUGUCAUCGGACCUAUCCAUGGGCAAUCACGGGGAAGGUCAGUGGUUACCACCAGAAGACACAUCUUUACAAUUGAUAUCACACAAGACAUGGUGCACCACAACUUGCCUUUGGUUCUUCCAACAACAACUUCAAAUUUUUUGUUUGGCUCAAAAAAGUAUAUUCCCGUCCACCGUGGUUAUGAUAAACGUAACCAGUGGCAGAUCACCAUUCAUGAUGGUCUGCCAUCCCUUGCAGAGCCAUGGUUCCAGUACCUCUCUCAAUAUAACUUAAUGCCUGGAGAUGAAGUUCUAUUCUUCUUCAGGUUUGAUGAACAUGCGUGGAAAAUCCUAUUUAGGAAAGAAGUUAUAUGGGAUGACACCCUUUCUAGUUGAAGACCAUCCCACAAACAAUUAUAUUUUUUUUGUUUUUAUUUCAUUUAUAUUUUGCUUAAUUUUGUUAAUCAAAUAGCUUAGGGUAUCAUAGAUUUUCUUUCCCUUCAACCUUAACUUAUGAACAUAUGUUGAU